UCCAUUUGUUUUAUCGGAUACCAACAUCCAAAACUCUGCCAUCUUAUUAGCGCUAAUACUGGGCUCGAUAGAGACUCGGAGGAUCCUUUCUCGGUUCAAUCUGAAUUAGUAAAAAAGCUUCAAUCCUCAGCCCGCUCGGAACUUGGAAGAUUCCGUAAUUUUGUCUUUCAGCAGAUACAGCAGCAGUAGCAGCAGUAGCAGCAGCCCCUCUCCCAUGGCUAUGUCGCUGUCCCCCCAAGAUUUCUGUGUAGUAGAAAAGUGACUCACGUGUCGAACAAAUGGUGUACUUUGUUCGAUGGAUCCAGAGAAAGGAGUCGAGUUUCAAUUAAGGAGAGGUUGUUUGAGGGCUCCGUAGACUUUAAGGGAGGCUCUAUGAUAUAGUUUAUUCGAUGGGAGGAUUGUUGGGAAGGAGUUCCACAUCGACUAAUUAAGAGGAUGAUUAUGGAUUUGUAAGUAAGGAAUGUAUCUCCGUUUAUAGUGAUAUGAGGUCUUUUAAAAAAAAUGAAAAGCAAAGCGGUGAGAUAUUAGUUUUAUAAUUAUAUGUAAGGAUUAUUAAACAGACAGACGCUUUCAAUUAUGAAAUUGGUCCCACCCUUUACACUAUGUUGUCUUUGAUUUUCAAUAUUAAAGAAAUAAAUAAAUAAAUAAAGUCAUUGGUUUGGUUUU